ACGAAGCGGCUCACCGUAAACCAACUCAGC
rnacentral:sRNA from 1 species